CAUUUUAAAGAAACGACAUGUUUUGUUGCUUUGUACCUUCAGAGCGUGCAUCCAUGGAAUCAAAACCUUUCUAAGGAACGAUUAGGUGGUUAGGAGAUAAAAGAAAAGUUUCUAUGGGCAGCAGACGCAGCAUUAACUAUUUAUAUGGUUGAAAGCCUGGGGAGUAACAACAAACAGUCGCGAGGGAACCGGAAGUGCCCCUGCCGAGGUGUGACCUCAACAGGCCCAACUGAUCAAAGCUAAAUACAGCAGGUCACAUGGAUCUCAAGUUCUGCUCUUCAUUCAUCCACUGGAGUAUUUUUUGAAGGUGCGCAUCACCAUCUGCACAUUAUUAGGUGGGAUGGACAUCAAACCCAGGGCCUCAGGCAUACUGGGCAAGCAUUGUAUCAACAGAGUCCCAUCCCUUCUCCAGCCCUGUUCCCCCCACAGUCUUGCUACAUGGCCCAGACAAAUCUGGUGAUCUUCUUGCCUCUGCCUCCUGAGUGCUAUAUUUAUAGACUGGACCACAACACCUGGUUUAAAUGAUUUUCUAAUGUAAACAAAUAAUAAACAGU